rnacentral:rRNA from 1 species
GGAGUUAGCCGGUGCUUCUUCUGUGAGUGAUGUCCUUCCUGCCGGCUAUUAACCCGCAGGCCUUCUUCCUCACUGAAAGUGCUUUACAACCCGAAGGCCUUCUUCACACACGCGGCAUGGCUGGAUCAGGGUUGCCCCCAUUGUCCAAUAUUCCCCACUGCUGCCUCCCGUAGGAGUCUGGGCCGUGUCUCAGUCCCAGUGUGGCUGAUCAUCCUCUCAGACCAUCUACGGAUCGUCGCCUUGGUGAGCCGUUACCUCACCAACCAGCUAAUCCGACAUAGGCUCAUCCGAUAGCGCGAGGCCCGAAGGUCCCCCGCUUUCCCCCGUAGGGCGUAUGCGGUAUUAGCCUGGGUUUCCCCAGGUUAUCCCCCACUACCGGGCAGAUUCCUAUGCAUUACUCACCCGUCCGCCGCUCGCCACCAGGGAGCAAGCUCCCCGUGCUGCCGCUCGACUUGCAUGUGUUAGGCCUGCCGCCAGCGUUCAAUCUGAACCAAGAUCAAAUUCUGA